rnacentral:rRNA from 1 species
AGUAGCCACGGUAAUACGAAGGGGGCUAGCGUUGUUCGGAUUUACUGGGCGUAAAGCGCACGUAGGCGGACUUUUAAGUCAGGGGUGAGAUCCCGGGGCUCAACCCCGGAACUGCCUUUGAUACUGGAAGUCUUGAGUAUGGUAGAGGUGAGUGGAAUUCCGAGUGUAGAGGUGAAAUUCGUAGAUAUUCGGAGGAACACCAGUGGCGAAGGCGGCUCACUGGACCAUUACUGACGCUGAGGUGCGAAAGCGUGGGGAGCAAACAGGAUUAGAUACCCCAGUAGUCCCUGUCUCUUAUACA